CUACCUUCUUAGCAUUGACCACAACAUUGCUGAUAUCUCUUAGUAGAGAACUGACUCGACUGCCUGCCCAUCCAGGCUUCUCGUGGUGGCGUUGUUAUGGUGCAUCUCUGUGACAAGUUGGUUGGCUUCUCUCUGUCCGACUAUCUCUUCAUCCAGUUCACUUAAGGAAAUAAAGUCAGUAAAAAAAAAAUGACAUAAUCAGAGACUAGAAACACAUAAUGAAUGAA